rnacentral:rRNA from 1 species
UACGUAGGGUGCGAGCGUUGUCCGGAUUUACUGGGCGUAAAGAGCGCGCAGGCGGCUGGUCAAGUCCGAUGUGAAAUCUCCCGGCUUAACUGGGAAACUGCAUCGGAAACUGAUCGGCUUGAAGGUGGGAGAGGGUAGUGGAAUUCCCGGUGUAGUGGUGAAAUGCGUAGAUAUCGGGAGGAACACCAGUGGCGAAGGCGACUACCUGGCCCAUUCUUGACGCUGAGGCGCGAAAGCUAGGGGAGCGAACGGG